AUUGAACGCUGGCGGCAGGCCUAACACAUGCAAGUCGAACGGCAGCACAGAAGAGCUUGCUCUUUGGGUGGCGAGUGGCGGACGGGUGAGUAAUGUCUGGGAAACUGCCCGAUGGAGGGGGAUAACUACUGGAAACGGUAGCUAAUACCGCAUAACGUCGCAAGACCAAAGUGGGGGACCUUCGGGCCUCACACCAUCGGAUGUGCCCAGAUGGGAUUAACUAGUAGGUGGGGUAAUGGCUCACCUAGGCGACGAUCCCUAGCUGGUCUGAGAGGAUGACCAGCCACACUGGAACUGAGACACGGUCCAGACUCCUACGGGAGGCAGCAGUGGGGAUAUUGCACAAUGGGCGCAAGCCUGAUGCAGCCAUGCCGCGUGUAUGAAGAAGGCCUUCGGGUUGUAAAGUACUUUCAGCGGGGAGGAAGGCGGUGAGGUUAAUAACCUCGCCGAUUGACGUUACCCGCAGGAGAAGCACCGGCUAUCUCCGUGCCAGCCGCCGCUGUAA
rnacentral:rRNA from 1 species